CCUACGGGAGGCAGCAGUGGGGAAUAUUGGACAAUGGGCGCAAGCCUGAUCCAGCAAUGCCGCGUGUGUGAAGAAGGCCUUCGGGUUGUAAAGCACUUUUAUCAGGAGCGAAAUCUGCAGGGCUAAUACCCCAUGCAGUCUGACGGUACCUGAGGAAUAAGCACCGGCUAACUCCGUGCCAGCAGCCGCGGUAAUACGGAGGGUGCAAGCGUUAAUCGGAAUUACUGGGCGUAAAGCGUGCGUAGGCGGUUCGUUAAGUCUGUUGUGAAAGCCCCGGGCUCAACCUGGGAAUGGCAAUGGAUACUGGCGAGCUAGAGUGUGUCAGAGGAUGGUGGAAUUCCCGGUGUAGCGGUGAAAUGCGUAGAGAUCGGGAGGAACAUCAGUGGCGAAGGCGGCCAUCUGGGACAACACUGACGCUGAGGCACGAAAGCGUGGGGAGCAAGCAGGAUUAGAUACCCUGGUAGUCCACGCCCUAAACGAUGCGAACUGGAUGUUGGUCUCAACUCGGAGAUCGNGUGCGAGAACGUACGUACGUUAGUUCGUCCGCCGUUGGGUAGGUUAGUUGGUUCGGCGAGACGUUAGAACGUUAACGAAGGUUAGUUAGGACGGCGGAGGAGACGCGGACGGACGGACGACGACGGACGGGAAGGUUAAGG
rnacentral:rRNA from 1 species